CCUUCGGGGUUAGUGGCGGACGGGUGAGUAACACGUGGGAACGUGCCUUUAGGUUCGGAAUAGCUCCUGGAAACGGGUGGUAAUGCCGAAUGUGCCCUUCAGGGGAAAGAUUUAUCGCCUUUAGAGCGGCCCGCGUCUGAUUAGCUAGUUGGUGAGGUAACGGCUCACCAAGGCGACGAUCAGUAGCUGGUCUGAGAGGAUGACCAGCCACACUGGGACUGAGACACGGCCCAGACUCCUACGGGAGGCAGCAGUGGGGAAUCUUGCGCAAUGGGCGAAAGCCUGACGCAGCCAUGCCGCGUGAAUGAUGAAGGUCUUAGGAUUGUAAAAUUCUUUCACCGGGGACGAUAAUGACGGUACCCGGAGAAGAAGCCCCGGCUAACUUCGUGCCAGCAGCCGCGGUAAUACGAAGGGGGCUAGCGUUGCUCGGAAUUACUGGGCGUAAAGGGCGCGUANGCGGAUCGUUAAGUCAGAGGUGAAAUCCCANGGCUCAACCCUGGAACUGCCUUUGAUACUGGCGAUC
rnacentral:rRNA from 1 species